GGUUAGUGGCGGACGGGUGAGUAACGCGUGGAAACCUGCCUUANACNGGGGGAUAACACUUAGAAAUAGGUGCUAAAACCGCAUAAGCGCACAGCUUCGCAUGAAGCGGUGUGAAAAACUCCGGUGGUGUAAGAUGGACCCGCGUCUGAUUAGCUUGUUGGCGGGGUAACGGCCCACCAAGGCGACGAUCAGUAGCCGGCCUGAGAGGGCGGACGGCCACAUUGGGACUGAGACACGGCCCAGACUCCUACGGGAGGCAGCAG
rnacentral:rRNA from 1 species